rnacentral:rRNA from 1 species
GAUGAACGCUGGCGGCGUGCUUAACACAUGCAAGUCGAACGGAGUUUAAAUAAGGAAGUCCUCGGAUGGAAUUAUUUAAACUUAGUGGCGGACGGGUGAGUAACGCGUGGGUAACCUGCCGUAUACAGGGGGAUAACACUUAGAAAUAGGUGCUAAUACCGCAUAAGCGCACAGUAUCGCAUGAUACAGUGUGAAAAGCCGAGACGGUAUACGAUGGACCCGCGUCUGAUUAGCUAGUUGGUGAGGUAGAGGCUCACCAAGGCGACGAUCAGUAGCCGGCCUGAGAGGGUGACCGGCCACAUUGGGACUGAGACACGGCCCAAACUCCUACGGGAGGCAGCAGUGGGGAAUAUUGCACAAUGGGGGAAACCCUGAUGCAGCGACGCCGCGUGAGUGAAGAAGUAUUUCGGUAUGUAAAGCUCUAUCAGCAGGGAAGAAAGUGACGGUACCUGACUAAGAAGCCCCGGCUAACUACGUGCCAGCAGCCGCCGUAACAC